rnacentral:rRNA from 1 species
UGGGGGAUAUUGCACAAUGGGCGAAAGCCUGAUGCAGCGACGCCGCGUGGGGGAUGAAGGCCUUCGGGUUGUAAAAUUCUUUUGCUCUGAACAAGGCGCACCAUGGGGUGUGUUGAGUGUAGGGGUUGAUUAGCGCCGGCUAACUACGUGCCAGCAGCCGCGGUAAUACGUAGGGCGCGAGCGUUGUCCGGAAUUAUUGGGCGUAAAGGGCUUGUAGGUGGCUGGUUGCGUCUGUCGUGAAAGCUCAUGGCUUAACUGUGGGUUUGCGGUGGGUACGGGCUGGCUUGAGUGCAGUAGGGGAGGCUGGAAUUCCUGGUGUAGCGGUGGAAUGCGCAGAUAUCAGGAGGAAUACCGGUGGCGAAGGCGGGUCUCUGGGCUGUUACUGACACUGAGGAGCGAAAGCAUGGGGAGCGAACAGG